CGCGUGAUUCACAUCAAUGGGAAUUAUUAUAUCUGUGUACCCCGAUUCCAAUUCACCUAGAUUCACAAAAAGAUAUGACUGUUGCGGUUAUCCUUCUGGAGCCUAGCUUCAUUUUGUCAAGCCAGUGUUUACUUGUAUCCUAAUAAAUGACGCGGGGCUGUGACUUCAUACGGGAGCUCCGGUGGCGUAUAGCCUAGGCGCGAGCCACCACCGCUCUGCUAAGCUGCUUGCGCUCCUCCUCUUUGUGAGGACCGGCUCCGCUUCUCCUCCGAAGCUCGAACGGGGAAAAAACUGCUGCAAGGAUGGAGUCCGCGGGCGCGUACGGCGCCGGUAGGGCCGGCAGCACCUCGUUCGACCCGGUCGCCUUCUUCACACACCCCCGGACCGUCGUCCGACUGCUUUCCUGGGUCUUCUCCAUGGUGGUGUUCAGCUGCAUCGUGAACGAGGGCUACAUCAACAUCGGCAGCGAGCGCCUGCUGUGCGUGUUCAACAACAACAACGACGCCUGUAACUACGGCAUCACGGUGGGCGUGGCCUCCUUCCUGGGCAGCAUCUGCUUCCUGUUGCUGGACGUCUACUUCCCCUCCAUGAGCAGCGUGAAGGACCGCCGCAGGGCCGUUCUGCUGGACCUGGUCUUCUCUGGUCUGGCAAGCUUUCUUUGGUUUGUUGGCUUCUGCUUUCUGGCCAAUCAGUGGCAGGCCACAACUCCAGAAGAGCUGCCAUUGGCCCAGGGCUCCGACGCUGCCAGGGCAACCAUCGCCUUCUGCUUCUUCUCGAUCCUGACCUGGGGCUACCAGUGCCUGCUGACAUUAAGCAGGGUUAAGGACAUUGUCAUCAUGGAGGAAAAACACCGGCUCCUGCCUAGCAGCUCUCCCACCUCAAUAAUGCUGGUCUAACCUUGUGUUCCUCCACCCCGUCCCCCAUUCCCGCUGCCUUGCCUCAGUCGUAAUCGGUUUUGGUUUUUAUUUUUAUUACGACUUAGCACUUAAAUGCGCUGUAAGCGAUGCCGUCGUUUCGGCUAACUUUCGGUUAUUUUGUAGUUCGCACUCCCCCUUCCUGCACUCCACGUCAGCAGAAACGCGGGUCUUGCACGCCUCCCGUCUCUCUCUCCCUGGCAGAUUUUCUUCUUUCUUUUCUUCAGUCAUUUUUUUUCCCCUGCUCAGCGUUCUGUUGUAUAAGCCGUUCCCGGCAGCGCUGGAGUCGGUAUCUUCGGGGACGUUCCUCCGUUGUCAGUCGGCACCGUAAUCCUGCCGGCUGCCCGAGAACACGCAGAGAGGCCCGCCCCUUUUGUGGGGUUCUCUCUCCUGAUUGGAGCUUAGAUACCAGAGAGACUGGGAGACCCAUGUUAGUGAUUCAACACUUUGUGUCAGUGAUGGCUGUCGGAAUAAAGAGAUAAUUAACACUUUAAUUAAUAAAUAUCGCUUUCAGCGUCUUUUACAGCCGUGAUCAGACCUCCCACGUAGUAGUCCUAUCACAAAUAGCAGAAACCUAUUCGGGAACCAGCAAACCUUCUUCAGAGGUUGCAGGGAUGUCAAACCGUAGCUUAGGUGGCCGAAGAGUCUGGGGGGAACUUUGUUCCCAUCCGUCCGCUCGCCGCUGCUAUCGGUCAGGGCAGCAGAGCGCCCAGGGCUGCUGGCAUUUACUGGAGGUCACACGCUGACACUGGUACGUUCCCAGCCCCCAGAGCUUACCCGGUUAGUGGAGCAGUUCAGAUCGCCGCUGGCAACCGCUGGUGUGCCGUCUGGUGGUGGGUCUAGUGGUGGGUCUGGUGGUGGGUCUAGUGGUGGGUCUGGUGGUGGGUCUAGUGGUGGGUCUGGUGGUGGGUCUAGUGGUGGGUCUGGUGGUGGGUCUAGUGGUGGGUCUGGUGGUGGGUCUAGUGGUGGGUCUGGUGGUGGGUCUAGUGGUGGGUCUGGUGGUGGGUCUAGUGGUGGGUCUAGUGGUGGUUCUAGUGGUGGUUCUAGUGGUGGUUCUAGUGGUGGGUCUAGUGGUGGUUCUAGUGGUGGUUCUGGUGGUGGGUCUAGUGGUGGUUCUAGUGGUGGUUCUAGUGGUGGAUCUAGUGGUGGUUCUGGUGGUGGGUCUGGUGGUGGUUCUAGUGGUGGUUCUGGUGGUGGGUCUGGUGGUGGGUCUAGUGGUGGGUCUAGUGGUGGUUCUAGUGGUGGUUCUAGUGGUGGUUCUAGUGGUGGGUCUAGUGGUGGUUCUAGUGGUGGUUCUGGUGGUGGGUCUAGUGGUGGUUCUAGUGGUGGUUCUAGUGGUGGUUCUAGUGGUGGAUCUAGUGGUGGUUCUGGUGGUGGGUCUGGUGGUGGUUCUAGUGGUGGUUCUGGUGGUGGGUCUAGUGGUGGAUCUAGUGGUGGUUCUGGUGGUGGGUCUGGUGGUGGGUCUAGUGGUGGUUCUAGUGGUGGUUCUGGUGGUGGGUCUAGUGGUGGGUCUUGUGGUGGUUCUGGUGGUGGUUCUGGUGGUGGGUCUGGUGGUGGGUCUAGUGGUGGGUCUAGUGGUGGGUCUGGUGGUGGGGCUGGAGUGGGUCCGGUGGUGGGUCUGGAGUGGGUCCGGUGGUGGGUCCGGUGGUGGGUCUGGUGGUGGGGCUGGAUUGGGUCCGGUGGUGGGUCUGGAGUGGGUCUGGUGGUGGGUCUGGAGUGGGUCCGGUGGUGGGUCGGGCUGUGCUGACACUGAGUGCGCUACGCCGCUAUCUCUCCGGCGCCAACAUGACAUUGUUCACGUGGCAACACAUGGACCACGCCCACGGAAGCGCCCGGGCCACGCCUUACCCCAUCGCCAACGGCGCCACCAUAGUGACCACCAACCCUUACCAGGCCCCGCCCUUCACCGAGACUCUGGACCCUCAGAAACUCACCCA